UACGAAGGGGGCUAGCGUUGCUCGGAAUCACUGGGCGUAAAGGGUGCGUAGGCGGGUCUUUAAGUCAGGGGUGAAAUCCUGGAGCUCAACUCCAGAACUGCCUUUGAUACUGAAGAUCUUGAGUUCGGGAGAGGUGAGUGGAACUGCGAGUGUAGAGGUGAAAUUCGUAGAUAUUCGGAAGAACACCAGUGGCGAAGGCGGCUCACUGGAUCGGUACUGACGCUGAGGUGCGAAAGCGUGGGGAGCAAACAGG
rnacentral:rRNA from 1 species